UUGAAGUUGUCUGGAUGGCACCACGACGGCGUGUCCGGAUUCAGCACCAUUUCGCUGUAACGCGUCACGUCUGAAGUCACGUCGCCGUUGCAAGGCAUGCCGGUGUUCUUCCAGCAGCUCCCGAUGUCGAGCAGGAUAGUGAUAGCCACCCGAAAAACCAUCGGUCGCAUCUGCUCUCAAAUAGAGCAUCAGCCAUGGAUACUUGAGUGAGGUCCUGAGAACAUGGUGGAAGGUCCAACUCCCCUGUCCUAAUUCCUUCUCCCACGUAACAGAAUGGUAGGAAGCAUUGGUUUCUUGCAAUCCCUUGGUCAGAUCAGCAUCCAGGUCCCACGAGCCGAAGAAUCUCCCCUUGAGCAGAGUGUUGUUAGGCCCUUGUAAAGUAGUGAAGUUGUGAUAGAUCAAAGGCUGGUUCAUGCAGCCUUUUCCAAAGCAUGGGAAUUUGCGGUCGGGGCCGUAAGGGGUGAAUUUGAACCCGUUCUUGGGACACCUAUUAGCACGUGUAUCCAUGUUGCCGCUCUUGAGCAUGAUCAUCCAGAAUUGCCAUGGUUUGGGGGUGUCUUGGACUUGACAUUUGUGUCCCAAAUAGAGUUCCUUCUGUGCUGCAUAUAGAUCAACAGCAUUGGGAGUCUUCUUCUCCUGGAUUGCUGCUGCAUUAUUCAGGCGCUGCCCCACCCCUAAUCUGUUAUCCUUUUCCGUAACUCUAUGCACUAAUCGGUGGGGGGCUUUGUUGCAGAGAGGGCACCUGGUUUGCGCUGACAAUAGGCAACAGCAGGGAGGGAGAUUCUUACAAAGAUGAAUGAUGAUCAAAUGGAACAAAAGUUUGAGAGAUUACUACUGACAUUGACCUUGACCUUGUUUGGGAGAAGCUUGCGGUUUGUCUGUGUCUUUGAAGAUGUCGAAGCAAUCUGCAGCCCGGGGGCUUCCCAUAUUCGGAGCUUCUUCUCCAACUUCAUUGCAUUGAUUCCAUGACUCAAUUGCCAACCUCAGACCAUCCCUCGCCAUCCCUGGAUCGCCAACUGCGGAUACGUAGUCAUUGUUGCAACUUACCAGCUGCAAAACGGUUACAAGAAUCAGCACAACGACGAUGACAACAACAACAACAGGAGGCACCCCUCGUACAACUCCUCCUCUACAAGACAUUCUUCCUUCAAUUCUUGUCCAUCUGAUGAUCAGUGCUGGUGCUAGUUUCGCAUUACUACAACAUAUUUUAAGGGCCCUUCUUCCUCUACACUAGGAAGGAAGAAGUCAGAAUUAAUUUUCUGCAGAAUAAUAAACUAAUAGAUGAUUAAGUGUGCAACUGCAACUGCUCCUCCGCUCCAACCACGAUUGGUUUGGUUUGGUUGGGUUGGGUUGGGUGUCUGAAAAGCAGCAAAUCACUUGUCCAGAUAGAACCAAUCUUCCCUCAGAAAUAAUUGGCCUGGGAGUGGGAGUUAUUUA